rnacentral:misc_RNA from 1 species
UUUCCUCAGCCAUAUGCAAAUGAACAAGCGGCCAGAUUUGCUAAUGGAGGGGCUUAUCCUCCUGAUUUAAGUCUUAUUACGAAAGCUCGUCACAAUGGUCAGAAUUAUGUUUUUGCUCUUUUAACUGGUUACCAUGAUCCUCCAGCUGGUGUUUCUAUCAGAGAGGGAUUGCAUUACAAUCCUUACUUUCCUGGAGGAGCUAUUGCCAUGCCUAAAAUGCUGAAUGAUGGUGCUGUUGAAUAUGAAGAUGGUACCCCUGCAACAGAAGCACAGAUGGGAAAAGAUGUUGUAACAUUUUUAUCAUGGGCUGCAGAGCCAGAAAUGGAAGAAAGAAAAUUGAUGGGUUUUAAAUGGAUAUUUGUACUCUCACUGGCAUUACU